UACAACGGAGAGUUUGAUCCUGGCUCAGGAUGAACGCUAGCGGUAGGCCUAACACAUGCAAGUCGAACGGUAACAUAAGAGCUUGCUCUUGAUGACGAGUGGCGGACGGGUGAGUAACACGUAUACAAUCUACCUUUAACUGAGGAAUAGCCCAGAGAAAUUUGGAUUAAUACCUCAUAGUAUUAUUUUAAGGCAUCUUAUUAUAAUUAAAACUCCGGUGGUUAAAGAUGAGUAUGCGUUCUAUUAGUUUGUUGGUGAGGUAACGGCUCACCAAGACUGCGAUAGAUAGGGGGCCUGAGAGGGUGAUCCCCCACACUGGUACUGAGACACGGACCAGACUCCUACGGGAGGCAGCAGUGAGGAAUAUUGCGCAAUGGAGGAAACUCUGACGCAGCAACGCCGCGUGUGUGAAGAAGGUCUUCGGAUUGUAAAGCACUGUUAAGAUAGAAAGAAAAAGCCUUA
rnacentral:rRNA from 1 species